UACAACUCUGUGGAUACUGUCACGGGGCCACCGCGUCUCGGCUUGAAUAAACGGAAAAGAGUUGAAAAGGCUCAAGCAACAGAGGCUGAAAAAUUAUAGUGCAUUAAAGGGAGAAGAAUUAAAUAACAACUACGAAGCGAUACAAAGCGAUACAGGUCAAAAGAAGAAGAAGGCGGCGGCCUCGGGCUGUCAGUCUGUUACUCGGAGUCAGCUCGGAGGCUGUCAGCGACUCGGCGCCCACACUCCAAGACAGCACUCCAGCAGAGUGUUUGCGGCCACCGUCAGCCCUUCUGCCAUGGUCUGGGGCUGUCCACGCCACUGGCACUGUCACAGGCACUGAGGAGCCUUGCGGCACUGAGUUACCAGUACUGCUUCAGGCACCAAGGAGCACCAUGGCCUCUCAGCAGAUCCCCAGAGCUCCUGAUGCUAUCAGUGAUGAUGAAAUGAACAUUCUUAAGUUGAUGAAGAUGGCAUACCAUACAGCAUGCUCUGUUCUUUAUCGAGUCUUCAUUUGGGGAACACAACAGGAGCCAGGUCAGACAGUAGAGGACUACUUGCUGAAGACCAAGGGGUACUCUAGAAAAGAUUACAAAAAAUUCUUUGACAGAUACCAAAUAGAUUUAAUGUCGGACAAGUCUUUAGAACCAAACUUUGAUAUUUCCACCUUAAGUAAGAUCAUCAGGCAUACCUGUGGUAGGCUGGACUCAUCUUCACAGGUUUGGAAUACAAAGGAUGACAACAGAAUUGAAUGGCUUGUGACAGAAAUCAAAGACUUCCGUAAUGACCUCAGCCAUAAUUUUAAGGGAAUAUCAGCAGGUGAUUUGUUCUCAAAAGCCACAGAGCUGAUGAAUCUGCUUAAGAAAACAUUAGAUGUGGCUGGAGCCCUUUAUGAGAAGUCUCCAGAGGAAAUUUGUGAAGAGAAAGAGAGAAUAGCAAAAAAUAUUGAAACUGUUAUGUAUCAGAACUUAGCAGUCUCAGACAUCAGUGAAUAUGAAGUUAUCAAGUUUAAUGAAAAACAAAAAAAUUUGCUAAAAGAAGAAGGUAGAAAAGAGUUAGAAAAACGAUACGAACGUUUGUGUCAGCUCAACCCAGUUGACUUCUUGGAGAAUAAUGGAUUACUACUUGAUGUCAACAUGAUCUUUACUCAAAUUGAGGUUGAGAAUGCUGGUCGUAAGAAAAGAGGCCUCCGUGUUCCAUGUCAGGAACUGAUUACAUUUUGCAGGAGUUAUUCUGCACCAAAAAGGGAUACCAAAGCCCCAAGUCCUGAAGCAUAUCUUCUUGAGGGCCCAGCAGGAGCUGGCAAGACAACUCUUAUCAAGUAUAUUAAGGGUGGAUGGUCAAAGAGGUCAAAUAAUGAGGAAUGUAUGCUAGGCCUUGAUGAGUUUGACCUAAUCUUGUUUAUGGAAUGCAGGAACACCUGUAUAUCAUCUUUUUCCCAGCUUCUCAGUCACUUGAUGCCAGAAACCAGUUCAAAAUAUUUCAGAAAGGAUGAUCUUUUAAGAUUUACCCUUGUCCUAAAGACACUCAUUUUAGUAGAUGGGCUUGAUGAACUGAAUUCCUCCUCAGAAAAGCUCUUUUUGGAUAUAAUAAAUCAAGACAAUAGUAACUUUGUAAUAUUUUGCACAUCGCGCCCAGAAAAAAUCCAAUACUUCACAAGGCAUGUUCCUCCUACAUUUCAUACAGCUCAUCUGAAGAUAAUUGGCAUUGCUGAUAACAGAAAGGAGGACUUUAUAAGGAAAUAUCAUGGAGAGAUGCAGAGGCAGGGCAUGAGCAAACAAGAUACAGAGAGUCUUAUCAAUUACAUCAAGAAAUCUGAAUCUCACCUGCAGUAUCAUUAUCGUCUACCCUUAAACUUGGUGUUGCUCACCUGGCUCUGGGCUGAUGACCCUGACUCAGUGUCUCCCAUGACAACCUCCAGUGAGCUGUACAUCAAGACGCACGACCUCAUGAAGAAAAAGCUGGUAGAUAGAUUAGCCCAUCGUGAAGACACACAUGCUGAUGACGUUGAAUUGGAGGAAAGAAUUAAGCAAGUUUUGUACAGUAUUUAUGAACAAGCUCUUUAUUCCCUGAGUAUGGAUACAAUUGAGAGUUUAUUACCACAGUCAGUGAAACAAAUGAAGGCUACUUGUGAAGCUAAUAAGUUACCUUACAGGGAAACUCUAUCUGCAUUUUUUGUGAUCAGAAUUGUGGAAGGAGAGGAAAAGAUGAGUGUACCACACAAAAUGCUGUGUGAUUUUUAUGCAGCACAGUGUAUAGUGCAGAAUUUAUUCAAUAAAGAACAAGAAAGCAAGGAACAUGAAAAACAAAAGAUUACUGAACUCCUGUGUCAGAGCAACAUAGAUCCUGUGAUCAGACAGAUGCUCCUCAGUGCUUUGGCAAAAAUGGAGUUAACCAGCUCAGCUCCUAAACCAGGAUCCUUGAAGGCACUGGUUACUGAGAAGUGCUUAAAAGAGUCCACAGAGAUUAACAAGUUCCAGACCAUGCUGCUUCAGGUGGCUGGGAUCAUUUAUGCUUUGCAUGGACAUGAGGUUAAGGAGUGGAUUGCCAAGGAAAUUGUUGAUCUGUUGAAAGAUUCAGAACUUGGUGUAAAAGAUGACAAUCAGUGGUUUGACCUGAUUGAUCUAGCAAAGAAUAAUCAUGAUGUCAUCACUUUUGCUUCCAAUCACAUAACUAAAGCUAUAACCAUCACUGAACAGCGUGUAGCAACGGCUCUUCACUUGUUACUCACAGCUAGACCAAAGAAAAUCACACUUGAUAUUAUCAGUAAAGCAACAACUCUCCCAAGCUUAGAAGCUUUGAUGAACAGAAUUGCAGACUGUGAAUGUGACUUAGAUUUGGCUUUCUGGCAAGACUUCAGUUAUCCCGCCUCAUCUCCAAGCAAUGAUCAAGAACUAAGGAUUAUCUCAAAGAGAUGUAACCUUGGGCAGGUAGUGUUCCAUGUUAGUGGUGGUGUUCUUGCUGAAAUAAGAGGGACCUGCACCUAUCUGAGCCUGGCAGUGACCAGUAACCAAGCAGCACAGGAGGUCUUGCAAAGUCUCAGGAAACAACCCAGUGACUUAGUUGUUGUUGGACUGUGUCUGCAUCUAACUACAAAUGUGUCCCCAGAAGUCUUGAGCCAGGUUCAUGGGAUAAUUAUGCUGUCUCUGGUGAUAAGUGGAGUGCAUGAUGACAACAUCAACAUUGUGUGUGACAUGGCUAAGGCACUCCAGCCUCAAAACUCUAUGUUAUUAGAUAUGCGAUUUCCUCAGGCUUCUGUCACCUAUGCUGGAUGCGUUAAGUUACUGAAGAGUAUGAAAGCUGCUGGUAUUAGUUCAGGCCACAUAUCCAUUCCUGAAAAUGUUUUGUUGAGGAAAGAUGAACUGGAGUGGCUGAAGGAGUUUGCUUUCGAUGAGUUACCUGUAAGAUCUGCCUUUCGAAGGUUGAGUGAGAAACAGAUGUGGGGUCACCAUUUUCUUUUGUAUGAUGAGGAAAAUGACUAUUCAAUUUGAAAUUGGACCUGUUUUGCAGCACUGCCCACUCACCACAUGUCAACACUUCCUGCAUCCAGACCCACCCAGUUCAAUGCCGCCCCUGGGAGAGUCGUAGUCAAGUCUGGCGGCGCCGCGAUACCACACCACCGCCUGGGGUCCGCCGCCGCUGGGGUGGUUCGCUGUGCAGUUGACGGCCAAGAUGCUGCCCUGCUGGAUGUACCGCUCCCCCGCACCCUCGAUACGCACUUGUGUGUCUGCCACGGGAAGCCUCAGGUUGCCGUACCCAAACAUGCCGACGCCCUCUCCUCCCUGUCUCCUUCCUCCCUCCUUGCCUCCUCUGCCUGCUUUCCCUGCCUUCCUGCCUAUCUUUAAUUCCUCCCUCCUUCCCUCCAUGCUUGCCUCCCUAUAUUUCCUCCUCCUUCCUUCAUUUCUGUUUGUCUUUGUCUCUCUUUUCUCUCCCUGUCUCCUGCUCCUGCCUCCCUCCUUGCCUCCUCUGCCUGCUUUCCCUGCCUUCCUGCCUAUCUAUAAUUCCUCCCUCCUUCCCUCCAUGCUUGCCUCCCUAUAUUUCCUCCUCCUUCCUUCCUUUCUUUUUGUCUCCGUCUCUCUCUUCUCUCCCUGUCUCCUGCUCCUGCCUCCCUCCUUGCCUUCUCUGCCUGCUUUCCCUGCCUUCCUGCCUGUCUAUAAUUCCUCCCUCCUUCCCUCCAUGCUUGCCUCCCUAUAUUUCCUCCUCCUUCAUUCAUUUCUGUUUGCCUUCGUCUCUUUCUUCUCUCCCUGUCUUCCUGCUUACCUCUCUCCCUCCUUCCCUCCCUGCUGGCCUCCCUGUAUUUCCUCCUUCCUCCCUCAUACAUUGCUCCUUCGUGCCCUGUCUCUCCUUCUCUCUCCCUCUAUCUCCUUUUUAUACCUCCCUAUUUUCAUGUCUAUCUCUCUAGUUUCUCCAUCUUUCCUUUCUUACUUCCCUCCCUAUUUUAUUUUCUCCUUCCUCUCUGUUUCCUCUGUGUCUCCUGUCUCUUCCUGCCUCUCUUUAUAAUCUCCCUCCAUACCUUCCCGUCUUCCUUCUGCUUGCUUUCCUUCAUGCCUCUCCCUCCCUUCUCUCCCUCACCUCUCCUUCCUUCGCGCCUUCUCUCUCUUCCUGCCUCCCUCUGUUUCCUCCUUCCUUCUAUACCUCUCUGCCUUUCUCCUCCAUGCCUCCCUCCUUCCCUCCCUCUCCUUCCUUUCUUGUUCGUGUCUCUCUUUCUAUUUCCCUCCAUCCCCUUCUUUCCUCCAUACUUCCCUGCUUUCCUUUUUUUUCUCUCUCUCCUGUCCCUCCCUCUACCUCCUUCCCUGCUUCAGUUUCUCUUUCUAUCUUCCUCUUUCCCCUUCUUUCCUCCGUACUUCCCUGCUUCUCAUAUAUUUUUCUCCCCCGGUCUCUCCCUCCUUGCCCCUUCCUCCUUCUCCCAUUCUUCCUUCCCUUUCUUCCUGCCCUGCCGUCACACCAACCCGGCUGACUGACUCCCUGUGCUCCCUUCCCUUCCUCUCCCUUCCUCCCUCCUUCCUUCCCUUCCUGCCCGGCCGUCACACCAACCCGGCUGACUGACUCCCUGUGCUCCCUUCCCUUCCUCUCCCUUCCUCCCUCCUUCCUUCCCUUCCUGCCCGGCUGUCACACCACCACGACUGACUGACUCCCUGUACUUCCUUCCCUUCCUCUCCCUCCCUCUCCCUCCCUUCCUCCUUCCUUCCCUUCCUGCUCGGCCAUCACACCAACCCGGCUGACUGACUCCCUGUACUUCCUUCCCUUCCUCUCCCUCCCUCUCCCUCCCUUCCUCCUUCCUUCCCUUCCUGCCCGGCUGUCACACCACCACGACUGACUGACUCCCCGUCCCCCUGCGUCCCUCAAGGUUGUUGGUGGAUAAACCUGCGACUGGACUAAGUUUCUGAUGGAGUGUGUGGCCUGCCAGAAUUUUUACAAUGCAGACCUCCUGGUGCCUCGGGUCCUUUCUUGCGGGCACACAUUUUGCGGCCAAUGCGUCAAACUACUGUUGGACUUCUCUCCGACGGAAGCGAUCGUCUGCGUUGUGUGCCGCCUGCCCCAUUAUUCCAAGGUUACCAGUCCCAUCGAGGUCCCCUACAACUUUGCACUUCUAGAUUUAAUGUUUGCCUAUUGUCGAGGAGGUGCCCAGCUAUACGGAGAAGUUAAGGGCCCUAUUGAGCUGGGCAGAGGAGCUGGUGGACGCGACAUGGCUUCCCCGCCAGGUUUGGGUCAUGAUAUUGCCCAACUACAGAUUGAUUCACCUGGCGGACUCUUGAAAGGUCAUGGACCGGUUAUAAAGGACCCUGGCCCAUCGACUUCCCAUGGGCCGGUGACGGAGCACCCUGGCCCAUCGACUUCCCAUGGGCCGGUGACGGAGCACCCUGGCCCAUCGACUUCCCGAGGGCCGGUGACGGAGCACCCUGGCCCAUCGACUUCCCGAGGGCCGGUGACUGAGCACCCUGGCCCAUCGACUUCCCGAGGGCCGGUGACGGAGCACCCUGGCCCAUCGACUUCCCGAGGGCCGGUGACGGAGCACCCUGGCCCAUCGACUUCCCGAGGGCCGGUGACGGAGCACCCUGGCCCAUCGACUUCCCGAGGGCCGGUGACGGAGCACCCUGGCCCAUCGACUUCCCGAGGGCCGGUGACGGAGCACCCUGGCCCAUCGACUUCCCGAGGGCCGGUGACGGAGCACCCUGGCCCAUCGACUUCCCGGGGGCCGGUGACGGAGCACCCUGGCCCAUCAACUUCCCGUGGCCCGGUGACGGAGCACCCUGGCCCAUCAACUUCCCGUGGCCCGGUGACGGAGCACCCUGGCCCAUCAACUUCCCGUGGCCCGGUGACGGAGCACUCUGGCCCAUGGACUUCCCGAGGGCCGGAGACGGAGCACCCUGGCCCAUCGACUUCCCGUGUGCCAGGAGACGAGAGCAAAGUCCCAUCGGCCUCCAUUAUGCCAGCAGUUGAGACCGCAGGUCCAUCGGCCUCCAUUGUGCCAGGAGACGAGACCUCAGGCUCAUCGUCCUCCGCUGGGCCAGGUAAAGAGAACUCGGCCCUCUCCACCUCCCUUAUUACAAAUGAACCUCCACAGCCGGUUUCUUCGCGAGGGAAAGAGCCGGUUUCUCCGCGAGGGAAAGAGACGAGACCUCAGGGCCCUGUUUCUCCCCAAGGGAGUGGAAUGAAACGUCCCGUCGAUGACUCACCCCAGGGGAGUGCAGUGAAACAUCCAGACCCCGUAUCCCCUCAGGGCCGUAGGAUUCUAACUCCAAGCCCUGUAUCUCCUCGUGGACGUGGAAUGGUGACUACAGACCCAAAGCACCGUCCUGGGAUGAGUAGCCCAGGUCCAAGUUCUUCCCGAGGGAGUGAGAUAAUGCCUCAAGUUGUCGCAGGCCCAUCAGGCCAUCGUGAAGAGCAGGAAGGUGAGAUGGAUUCAUCCACCGACUCGUGUGAAGAGGAUGAAGAUUACGAAUGCCCCAAGAUUGAACGUGAAGUGCGAGCGCCACCACCUAUCGGCGAUAACUUCAGAGUGAUUUUGCAGCCACCUCCAGGAAUGAUCUGGUACGGUGGGUUCCUCCGCGAUGGCAGGAAUGAAGUCUUUCCAGGCAUGCAGAAUGAUGACCUGUGGGGUCAGCACAGAGUUCCCAAACAGGCACAAAUAGUUGGUAACCAGCGGCGACGUGGCAAGAAACUUAGAAAAAGUUACAGACGUCCCUCGCAAUACCCGUCUGCAGACUCCAUCUCUGAUUAUGAGCCUAUUUUGACCCCGAUCGUUUUUUAACCAUGACUCGCCAGGAAGCAGCCUGGACUGAGCGUUCGUUCGCUGACAUGUGCGAGGUGGUAGAUGAAAGCGGAUCACUUCAUUGGGUGAUCAGUGUAGCGAUUUUUACAGUAAUGAUUUUAACAUUUUAAGUUUCACAACCUUAUUUUAAUUGGUUUCAAUACAGAUGUACAGUUUGUGUAAAGGCUCUUCCAUGUUUCUGCAAAUUUUAUGUACUUUUUAAUGAAGGGUAAUUGCAAUUUGUAUGUUUAAACGUUUGUUUGGUUUAAAACUUUUCAGUAUUUAUUAAUUGGCGAAGUGUGAACUGAUUGGAAACUUUUACCGCGUGUUCUGGCAUCGACGCAACUUAUUAAAAUAAAAUGUGAGCAAUCUGGA